AACAAAAGUGAAUUGUGCUCUCUCCUUUAGCUCUCUCCCUGCGACGCUUAGCCAAGAAUGGCAACUUCAUCGUCCGUUCACCAAACGAGAUGUCGUUACCACCAAAAUAAAGCUUGGACUUCCAGGAGCAAAACCCAACGAGUCUCAGCAAGUUUCGUCGACUGUAGCCACUAGAAUCGAGUUUGGAAACUCACGGCAACCACAAGGUAAAAGUGGUCGAUCCGGCCAACUCUGGCCACCAUUCAGCUCGUCGUCACCACCAUUCAUCUCACCGGAUUGAGGAGCACUUAGGCCAACUAAUUUUCGGGUGAAACAAACCCCGGAUGCCGGAGAUUCGAGUUUGACCCGGUUUCGACCCGGCUGGAAUUUCAUUUUCCGGCGACCCCGAAGUUCUAUUUUAACUUGUUUCGUUGUUCUGAACGUGUUGGCGAUGUUUUUGGAUCCAUACAGAAUAGCGUUGGAGCAUCUUGGCAAUUUCGUCUUAAAUAUGCGUAUACGUAUGGUAUACAUGGAGGUGAUCGAGGAGUUGGACUUGAGGCUGUAGACGGUUAAUUAUUUUGUGUACCGCUAUCGAGGUGAGUUGGAUGUAAGUGAUGGCGGUCAGCAGCGGGAUGCGUGAGCUGGUGUGUA